UUAAUUGAAACCAAGGGAGAGGUAUGUCACUGUUAAUGACAUCAAUGGGCUAUGCCCCGAUUAAU
rnacentral:tRNA from 1 species